rnacentral:rRNA from 1 species
UAGAGUUUGAUCCUGGCUCAGAUUGAACGCUGGCGGCAGGCCUAACACAUGCAAGUCGAGCGGUAACACAGAGGAGCUUGCUCCUUGGGUGACGAGCGGCGGACGGGUGAGUAAUGCCUGGGGAUCUGCCCGGUAGAGGGGGAUAACUACGGGAAACUGUAGCUAAUACCGCAUAAUGUCUACGGACCAAAGUGGGGGCUCUUCGGACCUCAUGCUAUCGGAUGAACCCAGGUGGGAUUAGCUAGUUGGUGAGGUAAUGGCUCACCAAGGCGACGAUCUCUAACUGGUUUGAGAGAAUGACCAGUCACACUGGAACUGAGACACGGUCCAGACUCCUACGGGAGGCAGCAGUGGGGAAUAUUGCACAAUGGGCGCAAGCCUGAUGCAGCCAUGCCGCGUGUGUGAAGAAGGCCUUCGGGUUGUAAAGCACUUUCAGCGGGGAGGAAGGGCUACUAGCUAAUACCUAGUGGCAUUGACGUUACUCGCAGAAGAAGCACCGGCUAACUCCGUGCCAGCAGCCGCGGUAAUACGGGAGGGUGCAAGCGUUAAUCGGAAUUACUGGGCGUAAAGCGCCCGCAGGCGGUUUGUUAAGUCAGAUGUGAAAUCCCCGAGCUCAACUUGGGAACUGCAUUUGAAACUGGCAAGCUAGAGUCUUGUAGAGGGGGGUAGAAUUCCAGGUGUAGCGGUGAAAUGCGUAGAGAUCUGGAGGAAUACCGGUGGCGAAGGCGGCCCCCUGGACAAAGACUGACGCUCAGGUGCGAAAGCGUGGGGAGC